GCCAAUACUUGCUUUCAAGUCUUUUUUACUUUGAUAUUUUUUGUAUGCUCUAACGUCUGUUUGUUUUAUUUUGCAGUUCUUCCUCAACCAUCCAAGGACUUCCGCAAAAUAUUCUUCCCAAGCAAAGACUUCAAGAAGUUGUUGGGUUUGCUAGUUGACUAGUGAAAAGCCCCUCUGCUGCUCAAUUAUAUCCCAACCUAAAAGUCCAUUUUCCCUGACGUCCCGAAGAAGAGCAAGUCCCCUCAUUUUGCUACAACUCCUGCUACAACUUCAUCACCUCGGCUAGAUCAAGGAUCAACCUCUGAUCCAGCAGAACAGCCAUCAACCUCUGCUCCACAACUGAUUCCACCUUCCCAAUGCCAACGCCGACGUCGGGCUCCACUGUUCGCACCAGCAGGCAGGACUCGUAGUCGAAGACGCCGAAGUUCUGAGGCAUCGGCUUACGAUCUAGCCAACCCAUCAACCGCACUUCCAGUGAUCCGCCUUGGCACUAAAGUUACUAUUGCCAUCUCCGCCGACGAAAUGAAGCGACAAAAGGCCGUUGUUAAAGACCUUCUUGUUGACAUCCCCAAUGUCGUCACAGUUCAAUCUUCCCCUUCCCAAUCUCAACCCAAACCAAAGCCAAAGAGGCUGAAGAAAGCCCAAGCCAAGGCAACGGUGACUCAGAUCGACUCUGAGGACACCUUGCCAAUCUCAAAAAUGGCUGAGGUAGAAAAAAAUGCCUCUGCGCUGAAAAGAGGCUCGCAAAAGCUGCUCCCUCCAAAUCCACCCGGUCAAAGAAGCCGAGGUCAAAGUCUACUACAACUUCGAGGUCCUUGAAAUCCGAUGCCCCCUAGGCCCCUCCAAUUACCAUCGAGGACAAGCCAGUCAGAGUCGGUGACAACGCGACUGACAUUGAAGUCGGCGUUGCCCUCUCUACCUUCCCAAAGACCUCGAACGCAACGCCGAGGCCAGCGAAUACGAAAAUUUCGCUCUAAUGUUGCAGCAUUCCAUACAAGCGAUCCAACAUGCCCACUCCUUCGCAAUGCAGGCUUUCGACAUUAAGAAAAAGUUGACCCGCAAGACCAAGGAGGCUGCUGGUUUGCUCAGGACCAUUAAUAAAGCCGAGGCCAAGAUGAAGACAUUGAUAGAUCAGGCUAAGGCAGUCAAACAGGCCCAAGACGAGGCCGAUGAAAGGGCGGGGGCUGCUGAGGUUGUCGUUGAGGUCCUUAAGGCUGAGAAGAAAAACGCCGAGGCCAAAAUGAUCGAAGCCCAAGCCGAGCUCUAAGAUGCUUUGGCCGCCAAAGCCGCCGAGAUUAAAGCGACGGACGAGAAAGCAUACGCUGAGGGGGCAACCGACAUCCGUGAGGACUACAAAAAACAAAUGAAAAAGGCAUGCAACAAGGGUUACACCCUUGGCUAGAUGGCUGCCUUGAAGGAGUUGGCUGUCCCCGAGGAUUCAACUCUCCGAGAUCACAACCUCCUCAUCCUGCCAUUCCCCCCCACUCCAAGCCAAUCUGAGGACGAGGCUGAGUCCGAGGAAGAUGUCGAGGCCGACUAGUCUGAGAAGGCUGAAGUUAUUGGGCCAAGUCCCCAACUCUGAAUGAGCAAGUUUUAGACUUGACUCAAGAUAAGGGGGACGAGUUUUCAAAAAAUGCCUCAUGCGGGAAGACAACAUCCGAGGCGCCUAUCGCCAAGAAGAGCCUCGACCGUACUAUUGAAGAGAUCGAUGCCGAGCUCACGACUGAGAAGGUUGUCGAAAAGAGUUCCCAAAUGUCUUUUGAGGACCAAACCCAUCCAGCUAAUGACGCCGAAUAGUCCUACCAUUAACUCUUUCUUUGUACUUAGUAAUUUUCUGAACAGUGUUUUCAAUUUUCAUAUUUGGUCGAUGUGUCACUUUUGUAAUCAGAACAAGUAGUCUUUUUGUAGGCCGAAGUGCCCUUUUUCUUCUUUUAAUGCAAGUACAACUUCUUCUUUCAA